CCAAAGGCUCUUUUCAGGGCCACUUAACUGUUUCCAUAGAGCAGCUG
rfam:Pteropus alecto contig104229, whole genome shotgun sequence.